CUACGGGGUGCUGCAGUGAGGAAUAUUGCACAAUGGGGGGAACCCUGAUGCAGCAACGCCGCGUGGAGGAUGACGCAUUUCGGUGUGUAAACUCCUUUUAUAUGUCAAGAAAAUGACGGUAGCAUAUGAAUAAGCACCGGCUAACUCCGUGCCAGCAGCCGCGGUAAUACGGAGGGUGCAAGCGUUACUCGGAAUCACUGGGCGUAAAGGACGCGUAGGCGGGUUGGAAAGCCAGGUGUGAAAUCCUACAGCUUAACUGUAGAACUGCACUUGAAACUUCUAAUCUAGAGUAUGGGAGGGGGAGAUGGGAUUAGUGGUGUAGGGGUAAAAUCCGUAGAUAUCACUAGGAAUACCUAAAGCGAAGGCGAUCUCCUGGAACAUUACUGACGCUAAGGCGUGAAAGCGUGGGGAGCAAACAGGAUUAGAUACCCUCGUAGUC
rnacentral:rRNA from 1 species